rnacentral:rRNA from 1 species
UCCGUAGGUGGCCCGCGUUGUCCGGCUUUACUGGGCGUAAAGUUAGCGUAGGCGGAUACUUAAGUGGGAUGUGAAAUACCUGGGCUUAACUUGGGUGCUGCAUUCCAAACUGGGUGUCUAGAGUGUUGGAGAGGAAAGUGGAAUUCCUAGUGUAGCGGUGAAAUGCGUAGAGAUUAGGGAGAACACCAGUGGCGAAGGCGACUUUCUGGACAAUAACUGACGCUGAGGCUCGAAAGCGUGGGGAGCAAACAGGAUUAGAUACCCUGGUAGUCCACGCCGUAAACGAUGGGUACUAGGUGUAGGAGGUAUCGACUCCUCCUGUGCCGCCGUUAACACAAUAAGUACCCCGCCUGGGGAGUACGGUCGCAAGAUUAAA